CCUAUAUUCCCAGAAAGAUCUAGAUCCCAAACCCGAGUCUCUGUGUGACUUUACAAAGGAAGUUGGCUCGAGCAGGGUGCACACUUCACUGUGUGGACUAUGCCCCGACAGCUUGGCCAGGCAGGGAGGGGGCACAGAGGACUGGGAGCUGGGCCAUCUCAGAUACCGGAAGCAGGAGAAGCAGAGAUCAGGACUCGUCCAGAAAGGAACAGAAACCAGCAGACCUGAGAAAAGCUAACUGGUCCAAUUUGCCAACCUCCUGUGUCCCCGACAACAGAAGAAGGAAGGAGAUGGCCCAAGAUGGUCUUUGAUGCAGGGACAUUUGUUUCAUUUGUGCAGCCAACCCGCCCCGCUGAAGAGAGUCCGGCACGCUGCAUGACCUGGGGAAAGUUACUUCACUUUUCUGCACCUCAAUUUUCUCACCUGCAAAAUGGGGACAAGAACAGUCAUACUUCGUCGGAUUGUCGCGAAGAUUAAAGAGGUUAAGACGUGCGUCAAGUGGCCAGCCCACAGGCAAGGCUCGGUGUUGCAGAUCUGCCCUGCAGACCGGAACUUGGACAUCGCGGCUGACGGCGGCUGGCCUCGUGUCCCAGCGGAGCAGAGGACAGAACACCGCGCUCACCUUGUGAAUUUCUUUUUUUUUUUUUUUUGCUGACUAAUGCUCUCCUUCUGUGCAAAGCGUCCUCUUCUCUCGCUUUUAAGACCACAAAGCGUAACCAUCCAUGAAUUGUUGCCAGACAUCACCAAGCCAUUCCUGGGUUUUUCCCACAGUCAUCCUCUGCUGCUUUGGAUUUUUCUCAAUGAUGAAACCAUCAGAACCAUUUGUUGUACCUUAUUUAGCAGGACCAGAUAAAAAUAUAAGCCUCAGCACGAUCACAAAAGAGGUCUUUCCCAUCUGGACAUACUCUUACCUGGCACUGCUGUUCCCAGUGUUCAUCGUCACCGACUACGUCCGCUACAAGCCAGUCAUUAUCCUGCAGGGGAUCAGCUUCGUCGUCACCUGGCUGCUGCUUGUGUUUGGUCAAGGACUGAGAGCCAUGCAGGUGCUAGAGUUCUUCUAUGGGAUGGUCUCCGCCUCCGAGGUGGCCUACUAUGCCUACAUUUACAGCGUGGUCAGCCCAGAGCACUACCAGAAAGUGAGCGGCUACUGCAGGAGCAUCACCCUGGUGGCCUACACGGUGGCCUCGGUGCUGGCCCAGCUCCUGGUAUCCCUGGCCAGCCUAUCGUACUUCCACCUCAACGUCAUAUCCUUGGCCUCUGUCUGUGUGGCCCUUCUUUUCUCCCUGUUCCUACCAAUGCCUGAGAAGAGCAUGUUUUUUCAUGUACAACCCGGCAAAGGAGCUCCUCCCAAGCCACCGGGAAAGGAUGCUUUCUCAAAGGAACCACAAAAGGACCGCAAACCAGUCUGCAAAGGAUUAGUCACCUUUUCAGGGAACCUGGGUGACGACGAGCCGCUGAAUGAUCCAAAGCCGGGAAAUGUAACGCUGAGAGUUUUUGUGCAGUGGUUCCAAGAUUUGAAGGGUUGCUACUCCUCAAAGCAUCUUUUUUACUGGUCCCUGUGGUGGGCUUUUUCCACAGCAGGUUUUAACCAGGUUUUGAACUAUGUUCAAAUCCUGUGGGAUUACAAGGCACCAUCCCAGAGCUCUGCAACCUAUAAUGGAGCAGUAGAAGCCCUUGCAACGUUUGGAGGGGCUCUGGCAGCCUUCACAGCGGGCUGUGUGAAAGUCCAUUGGAACCUCCUGGGAGAGCUGGCUCUGGCCAUCUUCUCAGCGGCAGAUGCAGGUUCUCUGCUUCUCAUGCAUUACACAACUAAUAUUUGGGUGUGCUAUGCCGGUUUUUUGAUAUUCAAGUCAAGUUACAUGCUUCUCAUAACGGUAGCAGCAUUUCAGAUUGCUGUUAACCUCAGCGUGGAACGCUAUGCCCUGAUAUUUGGAAUCAACACCUUCGUUGCCUUGGUGAUCCAGACUGUCAUGACUAUAGCUGUGGUUGACAACCAGGGAAUGGGGCUUCCGGUCAGCAUACAGUUUUUAAUUUAUGGGAGUUAUUUCUCUGUUAUUGCUGGAAUUUUCCUAAUGAGAAGCGUUUACAUAAUCUAUUCAGCCAAAUGCAGACAGGGAAGAUGUAAUUCUACUACCGACCAGAAUCCACAUGAUCCAGAGGACUCCAUUUCUGAUACAAACACAGUGACGCAGUUUUAGCCUGGUCUCUCCUAUCAUGGACUCAGAAGACGGACUGUUCCUACAUGGCAUUUUAAUUUUUUGUCCUAGAUUAAGACACCGUAAAAGACAGAAUUAUCAUCAACACUACAUCAAAACCUCAGCUACGGGCCGGUGAGCAGGGUACAACCAGAAACUGGAGUUGACCAAGUUGAAACCAGCCAUCUUUAUGGCCUCGAUGUGAUCAAAGUUCACAAUCAGUUGACUUUCAGUAAGGGAGAUUAUCCCAGAUAAUCUAGAUGGGACCAAUCCAAUCAGUUGAAAGGCCUUAAGAGAAGAACUGAGCCUUCCUUCCCAGAAGAAGGAGAAGUUCCAUCUGUGGACAGGAGCUUCGGGUCAUGCCUGAGAGUUCUAGCCCACGCGUCCUGAUGGCCUGCCCUAUGAGUUUUGAACUUAGCCUCAUCAGCCCUGACAAUCAAGUAAGCCAACUCCUUGAAAUACAUUUCUUACUACAUAUCUCCACUGGUUCGGUUUCUCAGGUUGAAUCCUGAUUGAUACAGAUUUUGAUACCAGGAGCGGUUGUAGAGGACACAUCUACAAGGCCAACUUUUCUGAACUGCUUCUGGGUUUCCUGGAACUGGGUAUCUAAUCUAGUUAGGUUUUAAGCCACUAUGAAUCUGUUUCCAGUCAUAAAGAGAGCACUAAUAGUCAUGGCAUGAUGUAGUUUUAGACAUACAAGUGUCACCAUUGGGCCCUCCUAAUCAAAUACUACAUUAGUUUCCUAACGAUCUUAUAACAAACGGCCACAAAUGGAGUGGCAUUAAACAACAGGAACUUAUUUUCUCAAAGUUAUGAAGGCUAGAAGUCUGAAAUCAAGGUGUUGGCGAGGUCAUACUUGCUCUCUGAAAACUUGGUCUCGGGGAGGGUUCUUCCUUGCCUCUUCCUAGAUUUUAGCAGUUGCUGGCGAUUCUUAGCCUCCCUUGACUUGUAGACACAUCACUCCAGUCUGUUCUUCUGGUGUCACAUGAUGUUCUCCCUUUGUGUCUGUGUCUCUAUGUCCAAAGUCCCCUCUUAGUAUAAGGAGACCAAUCAUGUUGGAUUUAGGGUUGACCCUAAUAAAGUCACAUUAAUAGGUUCCAGAUGAGCAUCAAUUUUGGACGGGACAAUAUUCAGCCCAGUUGAAAUACCUAUAGGAGGUGAGGUUCUGGAUUGCUGUGUAUUUGUCAGUUCAGGAUGUUUUACUUAACCUGAAGAGAAUAAUGGAAUUGGCAGGCUGCUCCUGGAGCAGUACACACACACACACACACACACACACACACAUACACACACACGCAUAUAUAUUCUCACUGGAGAAAAUAAGGGAGAAAUAAGGAUGACCUCAGGGCUUCAAAUUCCCAGCUCAAAGUGCUGCAUUAAUUAUCUGAAAGCUCUAAUAUCAUCCCUGAAACAAACGCAAAUCUCCUGCAGCCACAGAGCUGAGAUUUCUGAUAACCAAACCCAGAGUCUCGUUCUGCAAGUGGCUGAUUUACAACAUAAAUUGAAUUCCUAACCCUGCAGGGUGUCUUCUGAUAAAGUGAGGACACUCGUUGGGAAUAAAUGAAAUCCUGAAAACUGGAAUGGAGACGUAUGGUCAGAUCUCAAUAAAGCUGGGGACACCUGACCCCUAGAUCUGCCAAGUCUUUGCCCUUAGAGGCUGCCCUUCCACCCCUGCUUAACGAGGGGUCCUAUAAUGGCAGCUGUUUCAGCAGGCCCCAAAAGGUAAAAUACAAAAUGUAUGGAGAAGCAUUACACUCCAAAAGAGACACAUGGUUCCCCCAGCUUGUAUAGAAACCUAGAAAUCUAGAUAAUAUGUGUGGAAAUGGACCUUAAGGAUGUAGGAUCAUGGUAGAGGGAACAUAAAGUUGGAUCAAGCGGAAUUUGUUGAUAUGGGUUGCCAGUUUGGUUGGUUAGCUGAAACAUGAAGCCCACCCUAAAGAAGUUGAAAUGCCAGAAGUGCCUUGGUGUGCUAUAGAGGAAGGUAUUCCAAAGCUUAGGCAAAGUAUAAUAUUAGAGUGGAUUUAUCAUGCGGACUUGUUCACCCAACAUGGGAAGGUCCAGAAGACACAUCUUUUUCCAUAACUUUGAGAAUAUAUUUGUGAGAGCAGCCCAGCGUUCUAGAACUCUGUGGCUGCUUUGCUCUAUGGGUCAGAAAUUCCAGUGGGAGCUGCUACCCAUGAACUGGGGACACUCAAAUACAAUGGAGAUGAUGGGACCCCAGGGUGGCAGGAGCCACAUGGAGACAUUGAGUUGCUAAAGACAAGAUGGGUAUGGUUACCAUAAUGGACAAUGGAGCCAAAGCAGUGGUCAGAAUAGUCUACCUCAUGGAUACUUGUGGUGUGGGCGGGUUGGUAUCCCUAGAAAAGAAGUAGAUGAACAAUUUACCAAAUUCUUACUUGAUCUGCAUGAGCGAAAGUGUUCUAAUGAAUUUUAAGCAACUUAAUAUUCAAGAGCAGUCAUAAUGGAAAAUGCUACCAUUGCUUCAUGAUAAUUUGGAGUCCAAUGUUUUUUAGAGUAAAAAGCUGCCUAAAAGCUAAUCCAUCCAGGAGUGUCUGGAAUUUAAGCCCAAGGUAAAUACGCUUGAGGGUAGUAGAAAGAAAUCCUUGGGCAUAGGAGGCAGGAAUUUUCCCAAUGGAAAAGUCUUCAAAACCCUUUUCUCGGAUUAGUUACCAUGUCGAGACAAACAACUUCAGUUUCUACUCUGGGACUCUGUUUUUCUCUGUUGUAUACUGAGUGAGCAGCCAACGUCUAUCUUGCAAUUCACAAAUUCUCCCUUUGAGGGUGUCUUAUUUUGUUGAUUGAGGUUUUAUUUCAACUCACGUAUCUUUUUAUUCCUGAGAUUUUGAUAUCAAUCUAUACUUACUUUGUUUUUACCUGUAUUUUCACUAUAAAUCCUUUUUUUUUUUAAAUAGAAGUC